rnacentral:rRNA from 1 species
GAGUAACACGUAGGCAACCUGCCUAUAAGACUGGGAUAACUAUCGGAAACGAUAGCUAAGACCGGAUAACUGGUUUUCUCGCAUGAGAGAAUCAUGAAACACGGAGCAAUCUGUGGCUUAUAGAUGGGCCUGCGGCGCAUUAGCUAGUUGGUAGGGUAACGGCCUACCAAGGCGACGAUGCGUAGCCGACCUGAGAGGGUGAACGGCCACACUGGGACUGAGACACGGCCCAGACUCCUACGGGAGGCAGCAGUAGGGAAUCUUCCGCAAUGGACGCAAGUCUGACGGAGCAACGCCGCGUGAGUGAUGAAGGUUUUCGGAUCGUAAAGCUCUGUUGCCCUAGACGAACAGCAAGGCGAGUAACUGCGCUUUGUGUGACGGUAUAGGAGAAGAAAGCCCCGGCUAACUACGUGCCAGCAGCCGCGGUAAUACGUAGGGGGCAAGCGUUGUCCGGAAUUAUUGGGCGUAAAGCGCGCGCAGGCGGUUAAUUAAGUUGGGUGUUUAAGCCCGGGGCUCAACCCCGGUUCGCAUCCAA